rnacentral:rRNA from 1 species
CCUACGGGUGGCAGCAGUAGGGAAUCUUUCACAAUGGGCGAAAGCCUGAUGCAGCAACGCCGCGUGCAGGAUGAAGGCCCUCGGGUUGUAAACUGCUUUUAUAAGCGAGAAAUAUGAUGUUAACUUAUGAAUAAGGAUCGGCUAACUACGUGCCAGCAGCCGCGGUCAUACGUAGGAUCCGAGCAUUAUCCGGAGUGACUGGGUGUAAAGAGUUUCGUAGGUGGCAUAAUAAGUAGCGAGUGAAAUCUGGUGGCUCAACCAUUCAGACUAUUAGCUAAACUGUUAAGCUCGAGACCGUUGGGGGCAACUGGAAUUUCUAGUGUAGGGGUGAAAUCCGUAGAUAUUAGAAAGAACACCGAUAGCGUAGGCAGGUUGCUGGGACGGUUCUGACACUAAGGCACGAAAGCGUAGGGAGCAAACGGGAUUAGAUACCCCGGUAGUC